rnacentral:rRNA from 1 species
AGGUAUUUAUAUUUUUGUUUUUUAGUGGCGCACGGGUGAGUAACACGUGAAUUACAUGCCCUUCAGUGGGGAAUAGCCCGGGGAAACCCGGAUUAAUACCCCAUAGUCCCGCAAGGGUAAAGGUGGCCGUAAGGCUGUCGCUGAAGGAUUGGUUCGCGCCCUAUCAGCUUGUUGGUGAGGUAACGGCUCGCCAAGGCUACGACGGGUACCUGGUCUGAGAGGACGAUCAGGCACACUGGAACUGAGACACGGUCCAGACACCUACGGGUGGCAGCAGUCGAGAAUAAUUCACAAUGGGGGCAACCCUGAUGGUGCAACGCCGCGUGGAGGAUGACGGUCUUAGGAUUGUAAACUCCUGUCAUCUGGGAGAAAGACCUGGUCGUGAAUAGCGAACAGGGUUGAUAGUACCAGAAGAGGAAGGGACGGCUAACUUCGUGCCAGCAGCCGCGGUAAUAUGAAGGUCCCGAGCGUUGUUCGGAAUCACUGGGCGUAAAGGGAGCGUAGGCGGCGCGGUAAGUCGGAUGUGAAAUCCCGGGGCUCAACCCCGGAACUGCAUCUGAUACUGCCGUGCUAGAGUAAUGGAGGGGUAGCUGGAAUUCUCGGUGUAGCAGUGAAAUGCGUAGAUAUCGAGAGGAACACUCGUGGCGAAAGCGAGCUACUGGACAUUUACUGACGCUGAGGCUCGAAGGCUAGGGGAGCGAAAGGGAUUAGAUACCCCUGUAGUCCUAGCAGUAAACGGUGCACGCUUGGUGUGAGGGGAUUCGACCCCCCUUGUGCCGGAGCUAACGCGUUAAGCGUGCCGCCUGGGAAGUACGGUCGCAAGACUAAAACUCAAAGAAAUUGACGGGGACCCGCACAAGCGGUGGAGUAUGUGGCUUAAUUCGAUGCAACGCGAAGAACCUUACCUAGGCUUGACAUGGAUUUCUAAGCACGUGAAAGCGUGUGACCCUUCGGGGAACUUCCACAGGUGCUGCAUGGCCGUCGUCAGCUCGUGUCGUGAGAUGUUGGGUUAAGUCCCACAACGAGCGCAACCCUUGUGAAUAGUUGCCAGCACGUAAUGGUGGGAACUCUAUUCAGACUGCCCAGA